GCAGACUGCAGCUGGCCAGCCACUUUACUUCACCUUUCCCUGAACACAUGCACCACUUCAUGGGAUUUUACAUCUGAAAGAGGAACAUGUGCUCUAGCAGAAGCCAGACUGACAUUCACCAGGUCCAGGUCUCCUGACACUGCUGUGCUACAAAGAGCUGAGCCCUGUGGACAGGUCCGGGAGAAUGAGACGCCAAGUAGAGAAUGGGAAUCCAAGAGACGCCAAGGCUCCAGACGUAUGGAUGCAAAAGUGAUCUUGAAAGUAGAGAUCCUCCGAUCCUAGCCACCCCAGCUAAAGUCACAUGGGUCAAAGAUGAACUGCCAAGCCAAGUCAACCCCUCUCCAAAUUCCUGUCAUGGUCAAAACAAAAAGGUCCUUACUCCACUGUUUUCAAUAAGUAAGAAGGUCCUUAUUCCUACAUCACAUGCUUGAUGGUGACAUGUUGAAACCUUUUCCUUUGAUAUUAGGAAUAAGCCAAAGAUUCUCAUUAUCACUUAACAACAUUGUCUCAAAAGUACUGGAAAACAAUGGUAAAAAUAUAUAUAUAUAUGAUUAAAAGGUAAAAAAUCAAGAUUGUCAGUAUUUUCAAAUGAUAUAGUUUUACAUGCAGAAAGAAUCUACACAUUAAUAAUUACAAUUAAAAAGUGGGCCAGGCGUGGUGGCUUAUGCCUGUAAUCCCAGCACUUUGGGAGGCUAUGGUGGUGGAUUGCUGGAGCUCAGGAGUUUGAGACCAGCCUGGGCAACAUGGUGAAACCCUGUCUCUACCAAAAAUACAAAAAAAAAAAAAAAAAAGCUGGUCAUGGUGGUGUGCACCUGUGGUCCCAGCUACUUGGGAGGCUGGGGUGAGAGGAUCCCUUGAACCUGGGGGAUAGAGGUUGCACUGAGUUGAGAUCGUGCCACCGCAAAAAAAUCAUAGACAGAGCCAGACCCUGUCUCAAAAUAAAAAAAAAAAAAAGUGGGCAUAAGAAGGUUGCUAGCUACAAAGCCAAUAUAUUAAAAUCAACAACAUUUCUACCAGCCACCAACAGUUUGAAAGUAAAAUUUCUAAGAAGAUAGCAAUAUCAUAAAAAUUCAAAUAUGUUAGAAUGAAUCUAAUAAAAAUGUAUAAGACUUCAAUGAAGAAAUCAAUUUUUGAAAGAAACUUAAAAAGGGUAUAAAUAAAUGGAAAGAUGUCGUGUG
rnacentral:lncRNA from 1 species